rnacentral:rRNA from 1 species
AGCGAACGCUGGCGGCAGGCUUAACACAUGCAAGUCGAACGGAUCCUUCGGGAUUAGUGGCGGACGGGUGAGUAACACGUGGGGACGUGCCCUUAGGUUCGGAACAACACAGGGAAACUUGUGCUAAUACCGGAUGUGCCCCUUACGGGGAACGAUUUAUCGCCUUUGGAGCGGCCCGCGUCUGAUUAGUUUGUUGGUGAGGUAAAGGCUCACCAAGGCUACGAUCAGUAGCUGGUCUGAGAGGAUGGCCAGCCACAUUGGGACUGAGACACGGCCCAAACUCCUACGGGAGGCAGCAGUGGGGAAUCUUGCGCAAUGGGCGAAAGCCUGACGCAGCCAUGCCGCGUGGAUGAUGAAGUCUUAGGAUUAGUAAAAUCCUUUCAGCGGGGACGAUAAUGACGGUACCC